UUAAUACACAAUGAUAGUAUUGGUCAUUAAUACACAAUGAUAGUAUUGGUCAUUAAAACAAUGAUAGUAUCGGUCAUUAAUACACAAUGAUAGUAUCGGUCAUUAACACACAAUGAUAGUAUCGGUCAUUAAUACACAAUGAUAGUAUCGGUCAUUAAUACACAAAGAUGCAUAUGAUGUCUGUCAUUAAUAUACAGGCAGAUCGUAUCGAUCAUUAAUGCACAAAUAUGAUGUCGAUCAUUAGUACACAGAUAAAGAUAGUAUCGGUCAUUGAUACACGGGGCCAAAAUUGUGUGUAGCUGAUGCACAACAAAAUAGCAUCCGUCUAUGGUGGCUGAUUUCUGCCAUUUCGUUGUUUCGUUCUGGCGCCCCGACAGAACGAUAAUCUUCGUCUUUUCGCCCCCGAUAAUUAGCGUUAUGGCGCCGGCGCUAAUCAUCGUCUUUUCGCCCUGCCAUAACGCUGUUUAUCGUUAUGGCGCCCCGCUAAUCAUCGUCUUUUUGCCCCGCCAUUACGCUGUUUAUCGUUAUGGCGCCCCGCUAAACAUCGUCUUUCCCCCCGCUUAACAUCGUUAUGGCGCCUUCCGGCUAGUCAUGCGCUGAGCAAUCUUUCAUAGAAGAUGGCGGAGCAAAGCAGUUACACCAGCCUUUUGAACGGAGACAAUACCACUAAACAGGAUCUAAUUAGAGAAUAUCAUUUUGCUGGCUACACGUACUCCGAGAUUAUUCUUAUUCUUUCUACCGACAUCACGUGUCUAUAAGCUGUAGACAACGACAUUGGAUACUCAGAUCACUAGGUCUUCGUCGUCAGCAUGCGGUAACGGAUGAGGUAGCUCAAGCUAUACAGCAAGACAUAUAAUGCAGUGUAUCAUCGCUUGGUUAUAGAAGCAUGACGCGUCGUCUUUUGACAAGGCAUGGAAUAGUAGUUGCAAGGAGCAAUGUGUUGACUCUUCAGCGCAAACUGGACCCGGACGGUGUUCGUAGCAGACAGAUGCACCGAAGGACCGAGUAUCCUUAUACAUGUCGAUGGCUAUGACAAACUGAAACGAUUUGGUUUUGCCAUUCACGGUGCAAUAUGCGGGCACAGUUGAUUACAAGAUCCUGGUGGGUAAUGAAGACAUCGAAGGAGUGAAAGAACUCUGUACUUGUGAAAAUGUUCAAGUUAAUUCUGAAGUAGUCACUGUAUUAUAACAGGAUAUGGGUGAGAAGAGGCUUAGAAAGCCAUCCACAUAUAGGGAAGCUCUGGAACUGUGGAGAACUAGUUCACUACUGGUACUAAGACAAUCUACACAUAGCCUAAACAAUGGCAUAGUAGAGCAAAAUUUGAGUGCGCUUUUUUUUCUGUCUCACUAUCAGCCCUACGUACAGACCGCGUAUAAAGGAUAAUAUUUACAGUAAUCAAAAUAUGUGAAGAGAAAUACUAAUAGGUUUUGAAGGCAAAAGUGAAUUUCAGUUCGAAAUUCUUAUGGUUAGCCUGAACUCAUAUGUAUACCAACACUUCUUGUAUUUUACAUGCAACUACACU